UUUCUUUGGAAAGCUCCUACUAAGAUUAGAAAUUCCCCAAUAAAGCUGCUAGUGGUGCGCACACACAAAUGCUAGGCGAGAUACGUAGUUCUCUCAACCCUUCCUAUCCAUCAUUACAGACCGGAACUAGAUCGGAUUAGGUAGAGCAAGACCUUGAGCCUCUUGAGAAACCAAUAGAAACGACAGUAGCUAGCUUCACCAGAAGAUGAAGAAAGACUUCUAUAACUUCACUUCCCUAUUGAGUAGAAUGCAUGGCAAGUUUCCACUGCUUUAGGCUACUCUACUAAGACUUAGAACAUACCCUUCAAAUCAAAAAGCAAAAAUCAAGAAAAGUUCGUCGUCUGUGAUUUAAUCAGCCCUAAGGGAGUUUACUCGACCCAUUCUCCAGUCUCCCGCACUGCUCAAGUGUGCGACUCCGUAUGAGGACCUCACCCUAUCCCUCGCUCUGCCCAGCCAGGGCAUAGAUCACUCUCUGUUUACUCCUACUUCUGUGAAGAACAGAGGCAUCCAAAAAGAGACGAGAAGAAGCCCGCGCCUUUGCCUGCUUCCUUAGCUACGUCAGCUUUGCCUGCUUCCUUAGCUACGUCAGAAGGUAGGGCCUGAUUGACAGACGGCUCCGAAGAAGAUUUGAAGUUGUCCAUAAUUUACUGAGUACUCAGUAUAACUCACGCAUUCGUGUACAAACAAGUGCAGACGAAGUAACACGAAUAUCUCCGGUAGUCAGUCCAUUUCCAUCAGCCGGCCGGUGGGAGCGAGAAGUAUGGGAUAUGUCUGGUGUUUCUUCCAUCAAUCAUCCGGAUUUACGCCGUAUAUCAACAGAUUAUGGUUUCGAGGGUCAUCCAUUACGAAAAGACUUUUCUCUGAGUGGAUAUGUGGAAGUACAAAAAUUUUACUUCAAUUUUUCUAUAAAAUUGAAAAAAGUUUCCGAUUCACCAAACUAAUUCUUAUCUAUUUCUGAAGGAAUAAAAAAAUACUAGAAUUCUUAAUUUUUCAAAAAUUUUCUCAUUGAAACAAUCAAAAAAUAAGAAUAGGUUUUGUUAGUUAAAGUCAAAAAGUUAAUGAAAUAACUUCGUUACCUAGUUAUUACCUAAAGAAGGACUUUUAUUAAAAUACAAAAAAAAGAUUGAAUCAUUUUACUUUAAUAUUUUUUUGUAUUAAAAUGAAGCAGCUCCCUGACAUUACCAACGACUGGAACCUGCUUGCUUGAUACAAAGCUGUGGUAGUUUUUCCCAUGGAUUUCCUGUAAACAUCUGAACAACUUAGUAUCUUCUACCUGUAUUGCAGACGGAAAAUAUGGUCCGGCCGGCCGGAUCCCCCUGAAAACCGUACGUGCGGGUCUCCCCGCAUGAAAGCCGAGCUAUUAAUUGAAUCAUGCUUUUGAUUGAACGACAAAACAUCGAUCUGUUAAAGUCGAUAAUUCUGAUUCGUCUUCGGGGUAUGCCGUAAAGAUAGCCGAGACCGAGGAUAGGUGCCAAUCUGUUUUACGGGCUUCUAUAGAGGUACGGGAAACGGUUGGGGGCAAUAAAGUAGGUGAAGUGGUUGGAUUUUGUGAGCUGUUCCAACCACUGCUGGAUGUGAUUCCAAGAGCCGAACCAGAAUGAAUACCACACAGAAGAGUCAACCCACCCAUAGCCGGUCUAACUGCAGAGAGAGAAAAGUGCUUUUCUUUCCCUAAGAGUCCUCAAGUACACACAGCUAUUGCUGAUCCUUUGCGAGAUCAGGAUGAGACCCUUCAGAAUUUAUAAUCAUCAUAAAUAUGAUCUAUCAAAUGAGGAAAAUCCAAGCGAAAAAGCGCCCUAUGCUAUCUUAUCCAAAAGAGGUCGACCCUCCAGCUCUAGAUCCUUAAAACAGUGGAUUUGCAUAUUGGUACCAUUGCUUCAUAGAAAGGGCAUUAACAUACGUUUUUGAUCGAUGGAGUGUAUUUAACAUAUUUAAGAGUGGUUAGGAGAGAGAAUCAAUGUUUAAUAGUAGGCCCGGUUCACCAGGUUAUACCACUGUUCGCCCCAAUUAUAGUCAAAAUAUGAGUUUGAUCCUGGCUCAGAAGGAACGCGUACUUUGAGUUUUGAACAAUAGUUAGAAUUUCUUAUUAAGUGAUUCCCCGGUUUUUGAUCUUCUUUUAGCACAUACAUGCAUACAGUAGGCCAUGAAUUCCUAUUUGUGACAUCUAACUUAGUACCAUCAAACUUUGCAUGACCGAAUAAUUCAAGGAGGGGCGCACAGCGGGGAGGGUCCUUUUUAGUAGAUGACUCGUCGGGCCGUCAUUUUCUAUCAGGAAGGCUAUGUCAUUUACAACCCCGGCGUAUUUCGGAUGCUUGAAGGCCCCGCUCACCCGAAGUGAUUUAGAAAAAUUCUUCUUUCUCGAUGGUGAUCGGUCAUGGUAUCCAUAACGUUGCAUCUUUUUCGGCCAAAUCCUGAUUUCGUUUUGCUUCUCCUGGUCGAUCGACUCGACUCUUUUCCCUGCCCCCCGGCCUCUUACUUCGUUUCGUUCUUCCUCUGUACACUCGCUUGAAUGAAGACACCCGAUCGGCCCGACUUUCCCAAAUGCCCACCACCGGCCCUUAUCCUUUCCGGGUCUUGAUUUGUCGCGUCAUUUUAGUCGUAGUGGUCAAUAAUUGGAAAUCCUUUUUACAAAUCUCCUCCUCAGAGCGCCCUGUAACCUUACUUUUUCUGAAUGGUACACCUUAUUUAAGACAUUCAGAAUAGAAGAAGAGCAGUCAUCGAUUGAUUGAAAGUGGAUUGACGGCAUUCAUCAGUUGAUUGAAAAUGGACUUUUCUUUUAUGAUCGAGCGAGGUCCCUUUUGGGCUUAAAAGUCCUUUGAGCCGUGGAAUCCCUUUUGUCUUGAUUUAGGAGAAUAGGCGCAUUGAUUAGGUUACGUGGUUUGAGCAAUCUGCAGGAAGUUUAUUUUUUUCUUUAUUAUAUAUACCAUUCAUAUUUAUUAUUCUAUAUACCAUUCAUAUUAAAGUAAGACGGAUAGGGCAUAUUUGACUAGGAAGCAAGCAAAGCUAGUCCCUCCAUACCAGCUAGCAGUCUUGCCUCGAGAAAGGAGCUCGCAACAAAACGAGAGCUUUUUGAUAGCCCGUUCACUCGAUUACCACGCUUAGUAAGUCUGUCUGCAGGGAUGGGAAUGGCGUAGUCUGUCUGAAAGUGCUCUAGACAUAGGUUCAUCCCGAGCACCACAUAGUUUCCAGAUGCAAGCUGGCGGGGAAGAGUUUAUGGUUCUGAGAGGACAUACCGUUGCAAACUCAUCUGCUUGUAAAUUCAUUGUGUAAAAUAACUCGUAAAUUCAUUGUGCCAGAAUUGAUCACUGAUCAGAGCUUGAAACUCUUCACUCUGUUGUUGCAUCCGUUCGGCUAGAUCUGUUUGGAUCUUAUCCAUGGAUUCUCUCAUAGCUCUAAUUUGCUCCUCAAGUUGUCUAGAUCGGUGUCACGUCCCAAAUCGACUCUAAAAUACAUCCUCGAAAUUGUGCAAAGAAUAAUUAAAAUUCAUGUGAAAGCCUCCAACAAUUAAAAUGUGCAAAGAUAAAAGUCAAAUGAGGCUUGGAGGAUUUUUGUAUAUUUCCUAGAAGCCUAAAAUGCGUAAAUAAAUUUUAGUGGAAUUUUCAGAGCACAAAUAAUAAUUGAGAAGAAAUAAACAAAGUUGAAAAGGUUUAUAAAAAGAAAAACCCUAAAAGAAGUCCUCUUUCUCCCCCCCUUCCUUUCUUGGGCCGGCUCGGCCCACUUCUCUUCCCUCUCUCUCUCCUUUCCCCCGCGGCCCAUCGGCUCCUCCCAGCGCGCGCGCCGCUGACAGGCGGGCCCGCCCGCCACCCUCGCUGACGGGUGGGACCCACCUGUCAUCGCCUUCCUCCCGCCGCGUCCGCCGCUCGCCCGUGCCCUAGCGCCGCCGCCGCCGCGGAUUCCGCCGCAUCCCGCCGUCCCCGCGCACCAUAAAGAGGGGGGAAAUAUUCCCCGCGAUUCCCUCUCCCGUUUCCCCCGUUUUCCUCUCUCUCUCUCCCUCGGAUUCGUCCCGAUUCAUGCCCGCAAAGUUCGCCGGCGCAAUCAAUGGCGGCCGAGAUCUCCGCGCCGGUUUCCAUCUCCUCCGGCCGCUCUCUCCUCCUCUCGGCCCUAUUUAAACGUCUCCCGUGCCUCUCUCCUCCGUUUCCGCCGUUCGCCGCUCGCUCUCACCGUCGCAUUCGUGCUCGCGCCGUCUUCCUCUCUCUCCGCCGUCGCCGACAAGCUCCGGUUCGCCGCCGCCGUCGCUCCGGACUUCCUCCCCACUCGGCGUCACCUCCAUCGGCUUCGCCGCGUUCCCGUCGACCUCGUCCGCGCCUCCGUUUCGCUCGCCGACCGCCGGAGCACCGUCGUCCUCGUCGUCCCGAACCGCGCCGCCGCCUUCCUCCGCUUCGGCCGCCGUUCCCGUCGUCGCCGUCGACCGGGGUGAGCCGAAGACCGCUCCAUUCGCUUCCCCCUUCCCUCCUCUCUCUCGGGUGCCGCUCCGCCGCGCCGGUGGUCGCCGGCGGUGACCAUCGGGGCGCGGGCGCGUCCCCCUCCCGUCGGCCGUGCCGGCGAGGCCGCCUUCGGGCGUGCCCUCGCGGCUGCCAAGUGGGCCCGGCCGUCAGCCGCCCGCGCCCGCGGGUGCGGCUGACGCGUGGGACCCACGGCACCGGCCGCCGUCAGCCGUGUGCGCCCGGUCCACCAUGGACCGAGAGGCUGACGCGUGGGCCCCACUCCCGUGGACCCGGUCCGCGCGCCCUCUCCCGGCUGACGCAAUAAAUGAGAUUUUUAAUUAAAAUUUAAAUGAAGAAAUCCGCAAAUAUCCAUUAAAGAGCAUAUAAACUUCAAAUGGCCAUAUCUUGGCCAUUUGAACUCGGAAUUGGACCGUUCAAGUCUCUAAUUUUUCCUUAAGAAGUCAAGAACCCAUUUUUGUGCUUUGUUUCUGCUGUUAUGUGGAGUUUAUUAGAGUAAAAGCCUUUUUCUUUUCCGUUGGUCGUGUAGACGCUGCAGCUUCGGAAGAUCCGCUCUUCGUGGAAGUCGAAGCCGUCGGUUGGGAAAGCGAGCAAGGCAAGUCACAUCAUCUUUGAACAUAUUGAAUCCCAGUUUGUAAAAUUAUGUUGAUUUAAAUUAUUGCAUUAUCGCUUUAUUUAAAUUCCCGCGUUAUCACUGUUUUAUUUAGCCAUGCCUAUUUACCUUUGUUAUGACCUUAUUAUUGCUAUUGUUAUUAUUAUUCCCUUGUUCACCCUAGAGCAAACAAAACCUCAACUAGUGGACACUCUACUCAUGGCACCACUAGUUUAAUUUUAGGUAGAUGCUUCGCAAUUUAAUUAGGUAACAUUAGGCGGUUUUACAACUCUAGACUUUGGGAUAUUCUCAUAUCAUUUGGACACUAUGGAAUUGUUGGUUUAUGUUGGAAUUGGACACACACCUCUCUUCCUCUUUCAAAACCCCUAAAACCUGUUUUCGGUGGGGUUUGGGUGCAUGUCAGUUGUGGGAAGUAGCACCCCGGCCACUAUAAGGAUUAAGCUCGGGCCUCUGUUGCAAAGCACUACCGUACUUCCACAUGUCUAGUGGGUAAGGCUUAGUUUGUGGCUCAGGCUAGUCAUAAACAAAAGUACACGGAUUGGAGAUGGAUGAAGUCGGGGGUCGAUGGACAUUCUCCAGGGCAAAUGAAGGCUACACGAGCUGCGGCCCGGUAGUCGAGAUGUCAUACGGCAGAGGGUUGGUGCCCUGCUGCUAGGGGCUCAGUCCUGCCUGCCUGUCCCGGGGGUUCCGGCCGUAGGCGGGAUUGGGUCGGUACUCUUGUCUAUGGCUAGGAUGGGUUGGAAACUAUGUCACGUCUUCCGUCUGUAUACCGUGGUGGUAUGUGGCACGUGGUUACACGUGAGGAAGAUGUGUCUUGUGGGUAAAGAUGUACACCUCUGAUCAGAGUAAAACCUAUUCGAAUAGCCGCGCCCUCGGUUAUGGGCAAGCCGAGCAAUGUACCCAAGUCAGUGUUAUAAUUCUUAAAAUUUGCUCAACAACUAAAAUGUGGAAUGGUUGGCCUGGGUUGGCUUGGGACGAGCUGGGACCCAGGGUCGGGUUGCCAGUUCGGUCUGAAUCAUCGUAGGCCUUGGGUUAAGGCAGGUUCGUGUGGGUUCACGGCCUUGAUUAAUAAUACUGUUUAGUUCUAGGAUCGUGUUUACAAAAUAGCUUUGAGCAACUAAAUGUCUUUAAAUGCUGUUUACUGCAACCCUAACCCUUUAUAUUAUAAUUCCCUUGUACUCCCUUGCAUUUAUUCUGCAUUUGUGGGUGUGUCUUGUUGAGUACGGUGGUUGUACUCAGUCUUGCUCAAUUUUUCCCAAGCCCAGAAGAGGAGCUCCUUGAAGAUGAAGGCUUUGGUGUCUAGCUCGUGCCUGCCGUCAAGCGCCUGUGGUCGUCGCCCUAGUCUUCCGCUGUUUUUCGUUUGUCUCUGUGUGUGCUGGGCCUUCGCUACCCAUGUAAUAAGUUAACUAUUUACGCUUCCGCUUGUUAAACUCUGAUUUGUAUCAACUUUUGGUGUACCUUGCCUCCUGGGACAAGGAUUAAUGCACGCACGUCAGGAAAGCCCGUUGGGUUAUUUCCGGUCGUGACAAGUUGGUAUCAGAGCCACCCUUGACCCUAGGACGAGCCGUAGAUCCCAAGCCUUAGCAAUAUUUUCCAAAAAUAAAAAUCCUUUGUUAUUUGUGAAAACUGUCUAGUCUCUCUCUGUCUUGCUGCUUCAUUUAUCGCCAAAAAUCUGACCUUUGAAAAUGUUGCUUUUCUUUUCUUUGUUUUUAGAUGGCCGGCAGCGUCACCCGUCGUGGUUUGGACAUGACUGGCUUCGUCUUGGAGCUGCGCGGCAUGUGCGUUGUCUUAGGGUAUCCACAUGGAGUGGACUACCAGGCCAGGCCGCUUCCGGAGCAGGAGGGUGAUGAUGCGGAGCCCCGCGCUGGUUGGGAGGUCACUGCAGUGAUCCUCGCUGGCUCUUCUGAGCGGACUUCGCUGACAGUCACCGCGGGUGGCGACUCCUUCCCCGCCGCUUGCCAGAACGCCGCUCUCCUCGCCAUCGGCACUCUUCACCAGCGCUACCCGGACGAGUUGCAGCACUCGUCCUACCGCUACCACCCUCGUCGCGGAGGAGCCCGCGACUACGCCACCUUCCGGGAUGCUAGCUCGGAGGAUGACGCUACCGUCGUGCAUCUGGCACGCAUGGUGGAGGCAUACGACGCGGCUCGUAUCGACUUCCAUCAGAUGGUGCGUCGUGGGAUGGUCGAGAACAACCUGAAGAUCCUGGAGCUGCGUCAAGAGAAUCUGCAGCUCAAGAAGGACCUCGACGCAGUGGAGGCGCAGCUGCAUCAGCUCAAGAUCGCCCAGGGAGAGGUCUGCCGCCCCAAGCGUCGCCGCGUCUGCCGCAGCCAGAAGAUCACCGCCCGCAAGAGCACCUCCAGGCCCGAGCUUGUCCGUCAGUCCCUGGCAUGGACCUGCUUCGUCGAGACCCCUUGUGCCGAGCCUGCGCCCGUGGUUCCCCAGGAGGGGGAAGCCUCCGGCGUUGGUAGCACGGAGGAUGUGCUGUUGCUCACCUUCCGUCCUGGCCCGUCGCAGCAGUAGACGAGCAGUUAGUAGGCUUGCGCGUGUGUUCUUUCUCGUUUGUCUUUUUGGAGUCGUGUGGGGCAUGGUUAUGCCGGUGUGUGGCAUAACUAUGUCGGAGCCUGUCUUUAUUUGUUUGCCUAAGCAACUUGAACUUUAAUGAACCAAUUUAAUAGCAGUGAUAAAUUUAAGAAUAAUGGUAGUCGUGGGUGGUUAGUUUUAAUUGUUAGCUCUUUCCCUGUUUGCUGGUUCUGUGUGGGGUUUCCAGAUGGUGACGACCAGGAGAAACGCUGUUACCGGUGAUGGCAACCAACCUGAAGGCAGCAACCACAACCACCAGGGCAACCCACCUCCACCUCCACCUCCUCCUCCACCACCACCACCAGACACCAACGCCAUUCUCACCCAAAUCCUCGCCCAGCAAGCCAACAUGAUGAAUGCUUUCCUCCACCACCUCCAAAAUCCACCACAACAGAAUGCUCCACCACCACCUCCCCAACACUCUAAACUCGCCGAGUUCCUCCGCAUCCGCCCACCUACCUUCUCUAGCUCCAACAACCCCGUGGAUGCGUUGGAUUGGUUGCAUGCCGUGGGGAAAAAGCUAGACACGGUGCAGUGUACCGAUGAGGAGAAAGUCAUCUUCGCCGCCCACCAACUGCAGGGGCCCGCAUCUCUCUGGUGGGACCACUUCCAGGCUACGCAGCCAGAGGGACAGCCGAUUACUUGGGCCCGCUUCACCGCCGCUUUCCGGAGAACCCAUGUGCCCGCUGGAGUCGUGGCCCUUAAGAAAAGGGAAUUCCGAGAGUUGAAGCAAGGCAACCGCUCCGUGCUGGAGUAUUUGCAUGAAUUCAACAAUCUGGCCCGUUACGCUCCGGAGGAUGUGCGGGGAGAUGAGGAGAAGCAAGAGAAGUUCCUGGCAGGAAUGGACCCUGAGCUGUCCGUCCGCCUAGUCUCUGGGGACUAUCCGGAUUUCCAACGACUGGUGGACAAGAGCAUCCGCUUGGAAGCCAAGCACAAGGAACUGGAGUCGCACAAGCGCCGCUUGGCGAAUUUCCGCAAUCAACAGGGUGCUAACCAGAGGGUCCGCUACACCAAUCCCUAUCCAGGGGGAUCCUCCUCGCAGCAGCAACAACAGCAGCAGCAACCUCGCCCAGCGCCUCGACCUCAAUUCGUGGUGCGUGUCCCACAGCCGCAGCAACAGCAGAAUCAACAAGGGACUCGUGCGCCCCGUCCUCCUACGCCAACUGUGCCGCCUGGUCAAGGCCGCAGGGACGCUCAAGGUCAGCAGCGUCUGUGCUUCAACUGCUUCGAGCCCGGGCACUUUGCGGAUAAAUGCCCAAAGCCAAGGCGUCAGCAAGGCCAAGCGCCUCCCCGCUCCAACAACGGCGGGAAGGAUGUCAUUCGGGGUCGUGUGAAUCACGUGACGGCCGAGGACGUGCUGACAACUCCAGACGUCAUCGUUGGUACGUUCCUCGUUCAUUCCAUCCCUGCUACAAUUUUGUUCGACUCUGGAGCUUCCCACUCGUUUAUAUCUGUGCCAUUCGUGGGGAGAAAUCAGUUGGGGGUAGAAAGGCUUAGGAACCCUCUGCUCAUCACCACCCCUGGAGGGGUUAUGACAGCAAAGUAUUAUAGCCCUGCCGUCCCUAUAGAAAUUCAGGGGAUUCCUUUUCCCUCGGAUCUGAUUCUGCUAGACACAAAGAACUUGGAUGUGAUUCUUGGAAUGAAUUGGUUGGCUCAAUUCCAAGGAGUAGUGGAUUGCGCGAGACGCACUGUCACUCUGUACCGAGGGCCAGAACAACCGGUUGUUUUCUUUGCACCCCCAACCUCUGUCAGAAGUUCAGAACUUCAUCAGAUAGGACUGUCAGAAAUCCCCAUCGUCAGGGAGUUCGGAGAUGUGUUUCCGGAAGAACUACCUGGUAUGCCGCCCAAGCGAGAGAUUGAGUUCCGAAUAGAUCUUGCUCCAGGAACCACUCCUCUGUACAAGCGACCCUACCGUAUGGCAGCAAAUGAACUGGCCGAAGUAAAGAAACAGUUGGAAGAGUUGAAAGAAAAGGGGUAUAUACGUCCGAGUACUUCCCCAUGGGGUGCUCCUGUGAUUUUUGUAGAGAAGAAAGACAAGACGAAGAGGAUGUGCGUUGACUACAGAGCUCUCAAUGAAGUCACCAUCAAAAACAAGUACCCUCUUCCCCGGAUCGAUGAUCUGUUCGAUCAGCUUAAAGGUGCCACUGUAUUCUCCAAGAUUGAUCUCCGUUCCGGAUAUCACCAAUUACGUAUUCGUGAAGAAGAUAUUCCGAAGACCGCAUUCACCACGCGAUACGGGCUGUAUGAAUUCACGGUGAUGUCGUUCGGUUUGACCAAUGCACCUGCCUUCUUCAUGAACUUAAUGAACAAAGUGUUCAUGGAAUACUUGGAUAAGUUUGUUGUGGUUUUCAUUGAUGACAUUCUGAUAUACUCACAAUCAGAGGAAGACCAUCAGCACCAUCUCCGUCUGGUGUUGGGAAAGUUACGGGAACAUCAAUUGUAUGCCAAGCUUAGCAAGUGUGAGUUCUGGUUGUCCGAAGUCAAAUUCUUAGGGCACGUGAUAUCUGCUAAAGGAGUUGCUGUGGACCCCGAAACAGUGACCGCCGUCACCGAUUGGAAGCAACCCAAGACAGUUACCCAAGUCCGUAGUUUCUUAGGUUUGGCAGGAUACUACCGGAGAUUCAUCGAGAACUUCUCCAGAAUCGCUCGACCCAUGACACGGUUGUUGAAGAAAGAAGAGAAAUUUGUGUGGAGCCCGCAAUGCGAGAAGGCGUUCCAAACUCUCAAGGAAAAGCUAGUUUCCUCGCCGGUGUUAAUCUUGCCGGAUACUCGCAAGGACUUCAUGGUGUAUUGUGAUGCUUCGCGCCAAGGAUUGGGGUGCGUGCUCAUGCAGGAUGGUCAUGUGGUAGCCUAUGCCUCCCGUCAGCUUCGACCGUAUGAAGGCAACUACCCUACCCAUGACUUGGAAUUAGCCGCAGUGGUUCAUGCUCUAAAAAUCUGGCGGCACUAUCUCAUUGGGAAUCGCUGUGAAAUAUAUACCGACCAUAAGAGUCUGAAAUACAUCUUCACCCAGUCGGAUCUGAAUCUUCGGCAAAGGAGAUGGUUAGAACUCAUCAAAGAUUAUGAUGUGGGAAUUCACUAUCAUCCUGGUAAGGCCAACGUGGUUGCCGACGCUCUAAGUCGAAAGAGCCAUUGCAACACUCUUAACGUCCGUGGCAUUCCACCCGCACUUAAUCAACAGAUGGAAGCCCUGAACCUAAGCAUAGUUGGUCGUGGAUUCUUGGCUGCGUUGGAAGCCAAGCCUAACUUGCUCGAUCAAAUCCGCGAGGCUUAGAAGAAUGAUCCGGACAUGCAUGGACUCCUCAAGAAGAUGAAACAGGGUAAAGCCGCUGGUUUCACAGAGGAUGAACACGGAACCCUAUGGAACGGAAAGCGGGUAUGCGUUCCAGAUAACAGAGAACUUAAACAGCUGAUACUUCAGGAAGCUCACGAAAGUCCUUAUUCCAUUCACCCGGGCAGUACAAAGAUGUACUUAGACUUGAAAGAGAAAUACUGGUGGGUUAGCAUGAAGCGGGAGAUUGCAGAGUUUGUGGCCCUAUGUGAUGUGUGCCAGCGUGUCAAGGCAGAGCACCAACGACCGGCCGGACUUCUCCAACCACUCCAAGUACCCGAAUGGAAAUGGGAUGAAAUUGGGAUGGAUUUCAUCACCGGACUUCCAAAAACCCAAGGCGGAUAUGAUUCUAUAUGGGUAGUUGUGGAUCGAUUAACCAAGGUAGCCCGAUUUAUUCCUGUGAAGACCACCUAUGGAGGAAACAAGCUAGCCGAGCUCUACUUCGCUAGGAUCGUGAGUCUCCAUGGCGUUCCCAAGAAAAUCGUAUCUGAUAGGGGAAGCCAAUUCACCUCUCACUUUUGGAAGAAGCUCCAAGAAGAACUGGGUACUCGAUUGAAUUUCAGCACCGCCUAUCACCCGCAGACAGAUGGACAGACCGAGCGUCUAAAUCAGAUCCUAGAAGACAUGCUUCGCGCAUGUGUACUAGAUUUCGGGAAGACCUGGGAUAAGAGUCUCCCCUAUGCCGAGUUCUCCUACAAUAACAGCUAUCAAUCCAGCAUACAAAUGGCACCUUAUGAAGCGUUGUACGGGCGCAAAUGCCGGACACCACUCUUGUGGGACCAAGUAGGAGAAAGCCAAGUGUUCGGGACUGAUAUCCUGAGAGAAGCUGAAGCUAAAGUUAGAAUCAUUCGGGAUAAUCUAAAGGUGGCACAGUCCCGGCAGAAAAGUUAUGCAGAUAACCGCCGCCGUGACCUGGAAUUCGCAGUGGACGACUUUGUGUAUCUUCGGGUCACGCCAUUGCGAGGUGUACACAGGUUUCAGACGAAAGGGAAGCUCGCACCUCGGUAUGUGGGUCCUUUCCGUAUCGUUGCUCGACGUGGAGAAGUCGCUUACCAAUUGGAGCUGCCCGCCUCCUUGGGCAACGUGCAUGAUGUGUUUCAUGUGUCGCAACUCAAGAAGUGUCUCCGAGUGCCAUCCGAGCAGGCCGACUCAGAGCAAAUUGAAGUUCGCGAAGAUUUGACCUAUGUGGAAAGGCCAGUGAAAAUCCUGGACACCAUGGAGCGCAGGACCAGGAACCGGGUAAUCCGUUUUUGCAAGGUCCAGUGGAGCAACCACGCCGAAGAAGAAGCUACCUGGGAGCGUGAAGACGAGCUGAAGGCAGCCCAUCCCGAUCUCUUCGCCAGUUCUUCCGAAUCUCGGGGUCGAGAUUCCGUUUAAGGGGGGUAGGUUUGUCACGUCCCAAAUCGACUCUAAAAUACAUCCUCGAAAUUGUGCAAAGAAUAAUUAAAAUUCAUGUGAAAGCCUCCAACAAUUAAAAUGUGCAAAGAUAAAAGUCAAAUGAGGCUUGGAGGAUUUUUGUAUAUUUCCUAGAAGCCUAAAAUGCGUAAAUAAAUUUUAGUGGAAUUUUCAGAGCACAAAUAAUAAUUGAGAAGAAAUAAACAAAGUUGAAAAGGUUUAUAAAAAGAAAAACCCUAAAAGAAGUCCUCUUUCUCCCCCCCUUCCUUUCUUGGGCCGGCUCGGCCCACUUCUCUUCCCUCUCUCUCUCCUUUCCCCCGCGGCCCAUCGGCUCCUCCCAGCGCGCGCGCCGCUGACAGGCGGGCCCGCCCGCCACCCUCGCUGAUGGGUGGGACCCACCUGUCAUCGCCUUCCUCCCGCCGCGUCCGCCGCUCGCCCGUGCCCUAGCGCCGCCGCCGCCGCGGAUUCCGCCGCAUCCCGCCGUCCCCGCGCGCCAUAAAGAGGGGGGAAAUAUUCCCCGCGAUUCCCUCUCCCGUUUCCCCCGUUUUCCUCUCUCUCUCUCCCUCGGAUUCGUCCGAUUUUGUGCCCGCAAAGUUCGCCGGCGCAAUCAAUGGCGGCCGAGAUCUCCGCGCCGGUUUCCAUCUCCUCCGGCCGCUCUCUCCUCCUCUCGGCCCUAUUUAAACGUCUCCCGUGCCUCUCUCCUCCGUUUCCGCCGUUCGCCGCUCGCUCUCACCGUCGCAUUCGUGCUCGCGCCGUCUUCCUCUCUCUCCGCCGUCGCCGACAAGCUCCGGUUCGCCGCCGCCGUCGCUCCGGACUUCCUCCCCACUCGGCGUCACCUCCAUCGGCUUCGCCGCGUUCCCGUCGACCUCGUUCGCGCCUCCGUUUCGCUCGCCGACCGACGGAGCGCCGUCAUCCUCGUCGUCCCGAACCGCGCCGCCGCCUUCUUCCGCUUCGGCCGCCGUUCCCGUCGUCGCCGUCGACCGGGGUGAGCCGAAGACCGCUCCAUUCGCUUCCCCCUUCCCUCCUCUCUCUCGGGUGCCGCUCCGCCGCGCCGGUGGUCGCCGGCGGUGACCAUCGGGGCGCGGGCGCGUCCCCCUACCUUCGGCCGUGCCGGCGAGGCCGCCUUCGGGCGCGCCCUCGCGGCUGCCAGGUGGGACCCGGCCGUCAGCCGCCCGAGCCCGCGGGUGCGGCUGACGCGUGGGACCCACGGCACCGGCCGCCGUCAGCCGUGUGCGCCCGGUCCAACCGUGGACCGAGAGGCUGACGCGUGGGCCCCACUCCCGUGGACCCGGUCCGCGCGCCCUCUCCCGGCUGACGCAAUAAAUGAGAUUUUUUAAUUAAAACUUUAAAUGAAGAAAUCCGCAAAUAUCCAUUAAAGAGCAUAUAAACUUCAAAUGGCCAUAUCUUGGCCAUUUGAACUCGGAAUUGGACCGUUCAAGUCUCUAAUUUUUCCUUAAGAAGUCAAGAACCCAUUUUUGUGCUUUGUUUCUGUUGUUAUGUGGAGUUUAUUAGAGUAAAAGCCUUUUUCUUUUCCGUUGGUCGUGUAGACGCUGCAGCUUCGGAAGAUCCGCUCUUCGUGGAAGUCGAAGCCGUCGGUUGGGAAAGCGAGCAAGGCAAGUCACAUCAUCUUUGAACAUAUUGAAUCCCAGUUUGUAAAAUUAUGUUGAUUUAAAUUAUUGCAUUAUCGCUUUAUUUAAAUUCCCGCGUUAUCACUGUUUUAUUUAGCCAUGCCUAUUUACCUUUGUUAUGACCUUAUUAUUGCUAUUGUUAUUAUUAUUCCCUUGUUCACCCUAGAGCAAACAAAACCUCAACUAGUGGACACUCUACUCAUGGCACCACUAGUUUAAUUUUAGGUAGAUGCUUCGCAAUUUAAUUAGGUAACAUUAGGCGGUUUUACAACUCUAGACUUUGGGAUAUUCUCAUAUCAUUUGGACACUAUGGAAUGGUUGGCUUAUGUUGGAAUUGGACACACACCUCUCUUCCUCUUUCAAAACCCCUAAAACCUGUUUUCGGUGGGGUUUGGGUGCAUGCCAGUUGUGGGAAGUAGCACCCCGGCCACUAUAAGGAUUAAGCUCGGGCCUCUGUUGCAAAGCACUACCGUACUUCCACAUGUCUAGUGGGUAAGGCUUAGUUUGUGGCUCAGGCUAGUCAUAAACAAAAGUACACGGAUUGGAGAUGGAUGAAGUCGGGGGUCGAUGGACAUUCUCCAGGGCAAAUGAAGGCUACACGAGCUGUGGCCCGGUAGUCGAGAUGUCAUACGGCAGAGGGUUGGUGCCCUGCUGCUAGGGGCUCAGUCCUGCCUGCCUGUCCCGGGGGUUCCGGCCGUAGGCGGGAUUGGGUCGGUACUCUUGUCUAUGGCUAGGAUGGGUUGGAAACUAUGUCACGUCUUCCGUCUGUAUACCGUGGUGGUAUGUGGCACGUGGUUACACGUGAGGAAGAUGUGUCUUGUGGGUAAAGAUGUACACCUCUGAUCAGAGUAAAACCUAUUCGAAUAGCCGCGCCCUCGGUUAUGGGCAAGCCGAGCAAUGUACCCAAGUCAGUGUUAUAAUUCUUAAAAUUUGCUCAACAACUAAAAUGUGGAAUGGUUGGCCUGGGUUGGCUUGGGAUGAGCUGGGACCCAGGGUCGGGUUGCCAGUUCGGUCUGAAUCAUCGUAGGCCUUGGGUUAAGGCAGGUUCGUGUGGGUUCACGGCCUUGAUUAAUAAUACUGUUUAGUUCUAGGAUCGUGUUUACAAAAUAGCUUUGAGCAACUAAAUGUCUUUAAAUGCUGUUUACUGCAACCCUAACCCUUUAUAUUAUAAUUCCCUUGUACUCCCUUGCAUUUAUUCUGCAUUUGUGGGUGUGUCUUGUUGAGUACGGUGGUUGUACUCAGUCUUGCUCAAUUUUUCCCAAGCCCAGAAGAGGAGCUCCUUGAAGAUGAAGGCUUUGGUGUCUAGCUCGUGCCUGCCGUCAAGCGCCUGUGGUCGUCGCCCUAGUCUUCCGCUGUUUUUCGUUUGUCUCUGUGUGUGCUGGGCCUUCGCUGCCCAUGUAAUAAGUUAACUAUUUACGCUUCCGCUUGUUAAACUCUGAUUUGUAUCAACUUUUGGUGUACCUUGCCUCCUGGGACAAGGAUUAAUGCACGCACGUCAGGAAAGCCCGUUGGGUUAUUUCCGGUCGUGACAAUCGGGUCUGAGUUCCUUCGUUUGCCAUGAUCGAGCUCUGAUAGUCUAGUUGAGCAAAGGCCCAUGCCAAUGCCAUAGUUGUGACGAAAGCGAACUGAGCCAUUUUCAUGAUUUUGCAAUCAAAGAAAGUUCCAUACUUUUUUAUUCCCGGUAUGGAGCCAACGUCGCUUCGCUUUCGCAAGACAAUUUCCUUCUGGAAAAAUAUCAGCAAUCAAAUUAUCGUAAAUAGAUAGUACGGUUGCGUUGUUUCAAUUUCUGUUCGUUGGUCCUUGGGUUACGAAGGUGUGGGUUUACUAAUACGGAGAGCGCUAUGUACUAGUUGACGAGCUUGCCUCCAGUACUUGAUAGAAGCCCAUGACUCUCUAUCUGAAAGUGGUCUUGGCCGUAAGCCGAUAGGCGUAGUUGUAGCGAAGCGGCGUGUAUCGUAGUUGUUCGGAUAGCAAGCUACCUGACGUGAUAAGGCUACUAGUGCCCUCCACUCGUGCCUACUUUCACUAACCUAUAGCUAUUGCAUGCAAGCUCAAUCUUCUAUCUCGCAUUGCUACGUGCUCGAAACAGCCAAUUCGCUCGUAUUUUUGCCUCAACUCAUUCCAUGAAUGUUGUUUCAUUCCCACUAAAUCCAACUCAGUCUUUAUCCUGCCUUGGAGUUCUCUCUCAUAACUGAAGCCAGGAGGUAUUCGAUUUAUUGGAUUUCGAGCCCCUUUUCUUGCUCCUUGCCAUUAGCGCAGCCCUUUUCUUUUUCUUAGCUUUAUUUGAAGCGUAGUUUUUCACCUGAAAAAGAAGGAGCAGCGCUUUUGUAGUGACCCCCCGGGGUCCCGGGUUGCUUUGGCGCGCCCCACCCCGUCAGUCCUAUGUUGGGUAGGAGCGGGUCGAGUCCGUAUCACCGCGGAACAACUGCAGCGUCCGGAUCUGAUCUAUCUACUCGGCAAUUCAUCCGGUGACUUCACGGUCGCCAAAGAAGCCCCAAGAAGCAUCAAACAUUUCCGAUGAGAUCCAUGGUGCUAUUCUGAGAUAGCAGGCACUAGCUCCCAGUGCGACUUCAUAAAAAGCAAUCAAAGAUAAGAUCGAAGAAAAUGAAACGCACGUGGUGGUCAUUAUAGCGGUUCCUUCAGAUCCUAGAAAACGUCCAAAAAAACUGGCUACGGAACUACCGAGCAAAGGCAAAAAGACAAUAAGUAGAUACAUAAGAUCGAGUCUCUUCAAAAAAAAAUCAGACAAUGUUCGAGCGGCCUGUCAUUGAGACAAAAACGUGUUAAGCAUAUAAGACCUGAGACUUUCCUCUCUCUCCGAUUGCCGCUUUAUCGCAGAACAUCUAUUUGCUUUCUAUUCGACAAGAAGGACAAGGAAAAGAUAAUGGAUAUGGAACACAGGUCCUGGCACUAUUGGAAAAUGAAGCUCUCUCAGUUCAAACAUAUGAGAUUACUUACCCCGGGAACAAUUUCAGUACAUAUGGCGCAAGACGAUUCCACAUAUAUAUCGAGGUCAGAAUGGGAUCGGGUGUUUUCACGUCUCACCGUAGUGCAGCUUUAUACCACUGAUUUGACCAUUUUGCUGUGCUAGGCUGACCAUUUGGGGAAGAUACUCCAUUAAAAUUCUGAACAAGUAAGGGAACAGCUCUGGAUCCCAAGACAAGACUUCCUCUCAUAUUUAUAUUGAAAAAUAUGAAAACUAAUUAUCUUUAUUCUAGUUCCCUAAAACCCUUUCCGUGGCAUUCCUUUCUGUUCCACUCAUCCAACAUUGUUGGAUGCCAAAGACUUUGACGAAGACCAUUCUUUACCAAAGGAUGCGUCGAAGCGUGACAAAGAAAUGGCUGUCAAAGAGAAGGCCAAAAAUGCCAAUCUUCAAGCCAGAGGCGAGGGACAACAACCUUUGCCCGGCGGGGCGGCGGCUUCCUCAGAAAAAGAGAAAACUCUCUCACUCUCCUCUUUGACUGAACACUUGAGAUAGAUAUUGAUCAUAGAUAGGUACUCACAUUCACGGAAGUAAUGGUAAGGAAUCCCAGUAGUAUCUUCUCCCGGUGUAUGUGAAAGAGAAAAAGUGACGGGGCUCAUACUUCAGCGCUGCAGUGCUUGGUACUCGGACCUCGGCUCGAUGCAUUUUCUCUACCCCUUCUUACCCUGAAAAAGCAGGGUCACCUUGUGUCGUUUUUAUGAGAAGCGAGUUGUUCUAGGCUGGGCGGAUCCUGAUCUCUAAUACCGGUACUACGUCCUUGCCAAGAAUUACCAUAGGCCGGUCUUUCUUUGAAAUAGUCCUCUCACGCAUAUUCCUUUACUACCAAAGUAAUGCAUAUCCGGGGACCUUUUCAACAUACUUCUUUUCCUCUAUCAAAAAGCCAAUACCGACGCUCGCUUAUCAGCUUACCAGUUCAAACGGGUUUUAAAGUAGGUUCUACACAUUCGAGAAGACCCAGGCGGAUUGGAGUGGUUGUGCGCCGGGGCAAUCUCUGCUUGCAUUUCGCAUUGGAAUUUCAAGUACUAAGACAGGGGAGAGAUCUUUAUAAGGAAGGCUUGCAUCUGAAAAUAGUAGUAGUAGUCUAAGGAGUGAUUUGUACUGGAAAAACCUGCCAAUGGGAGCAUAGCUGGUCUUUAUUGUCCGCUCACUUCCUUCAAUCAAAGCAAGGGUUGUCUUUCCAGGAACUAGCAAACCAAACAAGCAGGCUAGCAAAACUAGGAUAAAGUUUGAUCCACCACUUACACUGGAAGGGCAAGAACUAAUGCUUAUGCGUAUUCUUCCACGGCAUAUAGAUGGUUAACUACUCCAACUCGAUGGCUGAGAGAAAAGUGAAAUCCUAGCUUGGAUAAGAAUCAUACGCUGCGAAUGAGCAGACGAAUCGACCGAGGGCUUACACACAAGAACAGAACCUAACUCUACUUCUUUUUCCUCCUUUCCUCUUUACUGCCCCCGCUAUACUAUCAACAGGUCAGUCAAUAUCGCAUCACAUCACCUAAAAGACUGAUAUCCAGCUCCAUAUAAUCCAACAAUUGGGCUCUAUUCUCCUGAAGAGAAGACACUUGAACUUCGUCAUGUGCUAUUGAGCCUUUUGAACCUAAGUGCGGACAUAAAGUCUUAGCCAAUGUUUCUAUACUAUUAGGGAGUAGAGUGUAUGAAUCUCGAUUUGACAUGACAGAGAGAGACUGUCAUCGCCAUCUCUUUGGACAUGCAUGUGUUAAGCAAAUGGACUGAACUGGUUUCUUCAGCCCUUUUUCUAUGUGUUGGUGUUCUAUAUGACCGACAUAAGACUCAACUUGUUAGAUAUUAUGGAGGUUUAGUGAGCACCAUGCCGAAUUUCUCUACCAUUUUCUUCUUUUUCACUUUAGCCAAUAUGAGUUUACCCGGCACUAGCAGCUUUAUUGGGGAAUUUCUAAUCUUAGUAGGAGCUUUCCAAAGAAAUAGCUUAGUAGCCACAUUAGCAGCGCUUGGGAUGAUUUUAGGCGCGGCGUAUUCCCUUUGGCUAUAUAAUCGUGUGGUUUCUGGAAAUUUAAAACCUGAUUUCCUCUAUAAAUUCUCCGAUCUAAAUGGCAGAGAAGUUUCCAUAUUUCUACCUCCAACAGACCGACAAGGAAUGAAGUCAACCUUAGAAAGUAGCCGAUGGGAGGUUUGAUCGGUUAAUGUGGAAAGACAACCCUUGCUUUGAUUGAAGGAAGUGAGCGGACAAUAAAGACCAGCUAUGCUCCCAUUGGCAGAAAUAAGGAUUGAUCGGGUAGUCCCGAUCGGUCCCGAUCAGUUAAUCCCGGAAGUCAUCUGCCACAAUGUCGGGAGCAUACCUCAUCAAGUUGUCGCAUUUCAUAUUGUAGUCCUGAACAGUACCACUCCCUUGUUUUAGGCUAACGAAUUGCUGUCGAAGCGCUUCCCGAGACAUCACAUCUAAAUACUGAUCAUUGAAUUCUCGCUCGAACCACGCCCAAGGAAUGGUUGGAUUUGAACCAUCAUUAUCUCCAUUAUGUCUCUUCUUUGCCUCCUGCCACCAAAAAGGAGAAAGUUUUCUCCCUUUUCACAUAACCGAGAAAAAAGGAAAAGUUACCCUACUACAUGUAUUAGCUAGUUUUGUCUAGUCAACAUCUAACGCUCAUUUCACUAUGGGAUUUAUUUACUCCGAUUGCUUCUACUCUCUUACAGCUGGGUGCGCCUAUAAGGAAGACUUUUCAUAGAUUGACUUUGGGCAGGCAAGUUGAACUAUCCGGCUUCCCUUAAAGUAUUCACUUUUCCAGGAGCCGACUUACCAGUUAGUACUGGCACUUUUACAGGAACAGUACCAGAGACUCAUCUCGUAAGAAGACAUUUUCAAUUAGACACUACUAGUCGAGGACUGCGAACUCAACUAGAUAUUCUGCACAUUCCAGUUUACCUUUUUAAAUCUUUUUUUAACUCCCCGAGCUACUACUCUGUAGAUUAACUAGUGUCUCCGAUUGCUUGGAUGAACAGAGCUCUCUUCUCUCCCAAUAUGUUUAUUUGACGGAGUCUAGUGCGUAUUCAUUUUCUUCAAGUCUUGGAUUCAAAAGGUUUUUUCCGGUGUAGGAUUCUUCCUACCCAACUUUGGCCAUUGAAGAAUGAGUCUUUGCUUUGUCCCCCGGGAUCCACCACAGGUUGGGUUUGAGAGCCGUGUGAUGGGUGACUAUCUAGCACGGUUCAGAGAGCACGUGUAUGUAGUCUGCGCUGGUGAAUACCACACGUGCAAGUUUCCCUGCAUGUGGCUCGUCCGUGAUAACUUCUUCGGAUUUGCCUGAACUAGCGGACCGAUCACUAAGUGGUUGCUUUCGCUGAUCGGCGCUAGUCUUUCCUGCUGUGAAUUUCCCAGGUCGAGAGGGGCCCUUUCCUUCUACCUUACUGAACCCAUUCACCAAUGAUUGGAGCCCUUUCACUAGUGGUUACUCCCGAUCCGAAGCACCCCUUUUCCAUUCAUAGAGAAAUCCAAUCGUCAAAAUCAAUAAAAAGGCCAUCAUGGACCAAGAUCCAAACAGAUCAAUCUUGUUAGGAGGUACUGCCCAAGGAAAAAAAAGGUGACUUCCUGAUCAGGGAUAAUAAAUAAAAUAGGAACCGGAUAAAAUCGUAUAUCGAAACGACUUCUGGCAUCACCGGAGGGAUUGAAACCACGUUCGUAGGCCGACAAUUUUUCUGGAUAGGUCGAACUAUUGGAAGCAAAUGGAAAAGGAACACCGAGUGGAAUCAAAGAAACUAGCGGACUGAUCACUAAAUAGAUACAAAUAGGUGCAAAUUCCGACAAAAAUGCACUUUCAUAGCCAUUUAUCGUGAUAGCGUAACUGCCAAAUCAUCCAAGUAAGGAAAUCGAUAAGCACGAAGAUUUCUCUCAAAGACGAGAAUAUCAUUCAGUCUUGAGAAAUGCAUGUGAAUGAGGAGCCGGUAUAAAUCGUAGGAACUCUUUGGAAGAACGAAUAACCACUGGGAUAAAAUGCCCCAAUGGAGCUUACGUUCUGAAUAUAUCCUCCUUGCUCGUAAGCAGGAAAGAUGAUAUUUCUCCAAACUGAAAUUAACAUAAGAUCAUUGGUUCACGAAGGGUAGAUUUCGCAGAUUUGACUGAACACAGAUAAACUAUAAACGAAAAUAGAGAACUGGAUGCGGUUAAGCAUACCACUUCGGAAAAGUGGAAAGGCACGGUGUUAAACCAUAGGCCUUUAACGGAACUCGAUCACUUAUUAGACCGAUAUAUGAACGGCAACCUCUUUAGCUUUUCCACUCCCUCACCACACCAACCACUGUGUGAUACUGAACACCCACACAAUCUCGAUUUAAAAGAGAGAGACUGUAAGGCUAGAAUUGGUUCACACAUAUGUGUGGGGGCCGGUCCAAUCACUCGGUAGAUCACGCUAUUAUGUCACCUUCAUUGAUGAUGCGACUCGGAAGGUAUCCAGCUGUUACGAACUAUCAGAUAGUCAAGAAUUGACAGGAAUGAAGGGAAUUGAUUUCAGGGAUCAGAUAAAGAGGGAAUUUAUGAAAUAAGAGUUACGAGAACAACUAGUCGAACGGAAGCAUUAGUUUCUCUACGAGAUGGAGAUGGCUCAUUCUCUAGUUUUCCUACGAGAUAUAAGUCAGUUUCUAACGUACUUUGAAGUUCAGGAAGGAGUUAUUAAUUAAGACGAAGAAGAACCCUCGCUUGGCUUUGUCCCGAACCAAGGAGGCAUGAUGGCGGGCGCGUGCGUGUGCCGACUGCAGAGACUACAAGCCGACGCCGGAAGCAUCGCUUUCUUUCUUCUCCCUCCAUUUUAUUCACUACUACCGCUUCUACACAUAAAUCAAAGAAGCAUUGUGGAAUAGUGGCAUUUCAUUAAUGUCGAAAAUGUUCUUAGUGAAAGGGUUGCCUUCCUUCUUUUCAAUAAGAAGAAGUAUUUGAAAUGAAACAAAUUCCUCUUCAUUCUGUUGUGCUCAGCGAAGGAACUGCGUAAGCAUACUUUUGCGGCACCAUUGGCCGAAGCAGACCUGGAAGCUGAUCUGCGAGUGAAUGAAAUUGAACGAUUAAUAUCGCCUUUCAUGCUAAAAUCGGACGAUUUCGACCUUACGUUCACGAUACUCCUUCCUGUCCUUGCGAUGUUUGGUUAAGUGUUAUCAAUCAGCUUUACUCUUCUUCCAGCAUUCUUCUAAGGUUUGCCUCUAACGAUGGUUGAAUAGCUCCUGUUGUUUUUAUUCCAUUGAAUUGAUUUCAUGAACUUCCCUCAAGCUGAAACCGGAACGGGAUUGUCAUUUAGCUUCAAUUUCUUCAGUCUCACAAGCGGGUCCGCAUGCAACAAAAGAAAUUGUAUUUGCCUACUACUCCGACCUCAGGAAUGCAAGCAAGCGAGGCCAGAACAAGGAGUGUCAAGAAAAACAGUAGCCGUUUACUCACAAGCUAACACGAAGCACGAAACACAUGGAUUCUCUGAGAACCGGACUGACCCAACCAAGCAAUCACUUGAGCCAUUCACACCUUGGAAGAGCUAUUCAAAGGUUUUCUGGCUGACUAUGAGGACACCUCUGCAUCCCAGGAGCAGACCGCUCCCCCGGAAUCUGUGGUCAGUCAAGAGCGGCAUCCGAAUCCCGCUCCGAUUCAACCUUGACCCCAGGGAUCUCCUCUCCCCAACUACACUAGGCUCAAGGUGGAAUAACGAAAGGAGGGUGCGUGCGAUAGCUAACCGAUUGAAGGAAAUUCCUCGCCUAUCUUAUUCUUUUUCAGUUCCGAUCAUCAUUAUACGAUCCAAGUCGUGGAAAAGCCGAGUGGGAAAGCCGAAACCGAGGUAACUUAGGCGUAGGUCAAAGCACGGGCAUGGAAAAGGGAUUAUAUGGCGUGCUGGGCUGGAUGAAAGAAGCAACUACGCCCCUGGUACAUUUCAACGCCCAUGAAUUCUAUAUUUCAGCAGUAUCUGAGGCCAUAGCUCUCAACUCAGCUUCAGCACUCGAGCGGGACACUGCAGUCUGCUUCUUGGUUUUCCAAAGGUCCGGAGGAGCGGAAGAGUUUAUAGUCGAGAAGGGUCGGGCAUUAGCAAAUCCUUCAAUCCCAACUCUUGAAAAGAAGCAUUUCCUCCUGAUUGUCCACCUUUUCGGAGAAAGAAGCACAUCACUUAUACGAGAUUCUGAAAUGAUUGUUAUCUCUAGGCACAUCUUAUGGGCGGAUGUUGCUCCUCGGAAAACGCGUAUAGUAGUCUCAUUGGCCUUCGUCGAUGGGACAAACGCUCCAGUGUAUGCGUUACAAGGCAACUAGCAUGUUGGAUUAGAAGUUCGUGAAAGUAUGUUCUCAUUUUUCGUUGGAACAACCAACCAUUUUCUUCUCCAAGUUGAGGUUCAGGGUUCGGCGGGGUGUGGCUUGUGGAUGGCUCUCCCCGAUCUGGAACAGCCCCGAAUACGUGUUCCAGGGGAACUUCCGGAAUUGAAUAAGGGUCAAAACGGGGCUGUUCCCCUUGCGGCACCUCUCAGUUCGGAUUGUUCUCUGCAACUCGGGAACAUGAAGUUGAAAUCGCUAGUAAUCGCGGAUCAGCAUGCCGCGGUGAAUAUGUACCCGGGCCCUUCCUUUGUUCCUCUUCCUUCUGCGCAGAUACUUUUGAUCCACUCCUUUCCUAUACCGCGCCCUCUGCCUAUUACGGUCGAUACCCAGAAAGUUGCCGACUACUUUUUUUCAUAAGGGGGGAAGCGAAGCUUAGUGAGCUUAGAGCGAUUUCCUCACAAAAAAAGCACGAGCGAGAUAUUCAUCCUUAACAGGGAUCUCAAUUGCGGGAAGAAGAUUUUUUCUUCAGGAUGGAGCGCAUCAGAUAUUAACAUUUUUGGAUUACUUUUUUCGGGGUUAAUCUGACCUUCUUUCCCAUGCAUUUCUUAGGGCUUUCGGGCAUGCCACAUCGCAUUCCAGAUUAUCCAGAUGCUUACGCCGGAUGGAAUGCUCUGAGCACUCUCAACGGAUCCUCCACGCGCUGCGCUGGGCAUACCAUAGUUCUUCCGUGCGUCUUUAUCGUGGCGGAAACAGAACAAGAGGGAAAGACCCGGCUGGCUCAUUCCAUUGAUAAGCUCAUCGGGCUGCUCGUCGUUAGGAAGAGAAAGUCCUACUGCUGUAACCGCAACAUCAAGCAAGUAGGAUCGGGAUUCAGAUGUUCAAUAAAUAGGUUUGUUAGAAGAGACAGGAAUUUAUUCUUUAUUAGUGCAUGCCUUUUUUUUUGUGAUUCGAGCAGUUCUUGUCACGAGAUGAUGGGCCAGAGAAAAGUUUGAUAGGAAAGGAAGGUGGGGCACUUCGUUGCUGGGCUGGAAUAGAAACUGACGUAUGGAGGACUUGUGAGAUCUUUCACUCUUCGACAACGAAAGCCUUGAGGACGUCAGCGAUGUGUUAUAGGGACGUCAACGAAAGCUAGUAGGGAACUGCAACCAGAGAGAGAGUUCUAGUGAGUCCAGACUCUUUCUUUCGUUCAUCAAAGCGAAGCAUGGCUGCAAUCCCAAACUCAUCCUUUUUUCCGCGAGCAAUCUACGUUUGUGAUCUCGUAUAUUUCGCUUCUCCGACAUCUUACUUAGUUUCCCCCUCAUAUUUUAGCAAAAAGCCGCUCCACAGUAGUAAAGUCUCAUCUUUUGUAUUGGCCGAAGUGACAAUAGUCACAUUACAAAGCAGAGCCCUCGUGAAUACACGUACCAUUAAUGAAGGAACAGCUAGUACUAAUUAUAUGAGGGAAUACUAAUUAUCUAUUCUUAUGUAUUCUCUCACAAUCACUCCUAGCAAUAAGUGAAAAGGCGGCUAUCGAUACUGUCCCAACAACCUCCUCUCAAUUGAUCCCUCGUUACUGCCCAUAGGAGAAGUAAUAGGUAGGGAUGACAGGAUUUGAACCCGUGACAUUUUGUACCCAAAACAAACGCGCUACCAAGCUGCGCUACACUCGUGAAGGUAAUGAAAUUAUCCGAUCAGCUUGCAAAUGGAGUCCUGAACUAGCCAGGUCUCGUUCUUAUAUGCUACCUAGAAUUAUUUAGAACUUAAAUCUUUAAGCAUGUGCUUAGUCAAGGAGGAAACUACUAAAGAACAAAGAAGUCGUCUUUGGUCAGUGAACCAACUUUUGCCGAGCCCCAUUGCCAACUCUAAAUUACAUUCAUUUCACCAGUCCGCCAAUCCAAUUAGGAUUCCCAUCGGUUGCAUCGCUCCUGCUCGCAGUAGUCGUUUCUUCUCCGGUGAAUCAAUUUCUUCUAAACAGAAUAAGGGCGGCAUCCUGCUCUCGACUAUCUCUGCCGCGGAAUGGGAUCGCUUGCCAGCUAGGCCCUCUAGAAAAAAGUUGGAGCAACAUUGUAUGAACUCUCGGGUUUGGAACAGAUAAGUUCUGUACGGAUAACAAAGAAUAGAAAUUGGAGAGCAGGUGCCCUUCCCUGGUUGUUACCUUCCCAGCCCCAAAGGAAAAGCCCUGAUCAUUUGAAAAAAAAGAAGCCAUGCAUGCCGACACGUUUUAACAGAUCAGUAGCAUACUUCUCUUGAGUCAAGAUAAUUCCAUCAUGAACUUUAUUAACUUCUAUGCCCAAGAAAUAGUGCAACGCACCAAGAUCCUUAAGGGCAAAUUCUUCUUUCAAAUCUUGAAGUAAUGCCGAAGUUGCUUUUUCACAAGAACUAGCAACAAUGAUGUCAUCAACAUAUAUCAACACAAAUAUGGAGAUUGUACCUUUCUUGUAAAAGAAGAGCGAAGCAUCUGCUUUUGACGGUUGAAAUCCAAGCCUAGCUCGUUAUUCUUUGAGAUAUGGAUAGAGUCUCGCUUCGGGGCGGGGGAAGCAGCAAGCGUAGGCUAAAAAGAGGUGGGUCGGUUUAGUCAUCAGCUCAAGAGGACAGGGGAGAGAUAGGAGACAAAAAGAGGCAAAGUGAGGCCCGCCCAAGCAAGUGGUUUGUUUUUGAGAGAGAAGUGUUUUCUUUGGAAAAGAAGAGCUCUUUCUAAGUUGACUUGCUCUGUUCGUCCGCUGUCAGAUCAAAACGGGUAGGGAUCGGCCCAGCCUAGAACAACUCGCUUCUCAUAAAAACGAAUCCCUUUGUGCCUGGAAGAAAUGCAAAGGGGAAUGCUGGGUCAGAGCCAAAGAAUGUGAACUAUACAAGUUCACAAUACCCUUUGAUGAAAUGAAAGAAAGGGUUCCGGUGUAUAGAGAGGGCCUGCGGACGGCUGUCCGAAGUGCAUGCAAUGACGGGCUCGGAUAGGAUAGGGUUGUGCGUGCCGGGCCCUUCGGGUGUCCAUAUUUUGGCCGACCCAUCCUAGUCUUUUGCGACACAGCUGGUUUACUUAUUUUGUUAGGUCUCGACUUCUCCGCUAUGAUCUCCCCAGUAGUUCAUAUAGGAGCUAUUGCCGUUUCAUUCCUAAGCAAGCUGGAGCACCUUUCACUCUCGGGCAUAAAGGCUUUUAUCCAAUUCAUUCACAGGAAGGGUAGAAGGAGCUUCAAAGCUUUUAGCCGGCGUUGGAGCUCAGACGGUGCAGUUAGUAUUGACCACUACCGCCAAGUCCAUAAUUAAAAAAUUGAUGAAGUCCACAUAAUGGAGCUCAAAAGCCGAUUAAAAAAUCUACUUUUUGAGCAUCUUGAAACCGCACAUAAAAAAUAUUAUGAAUGAAUCACCUUACAAUAACAUACGAGAGACAGCUUUCGAUUUUUUCGAACAACAAGUCGAACCCAAUGAACAAUUCCAUUCAAAGGAAUGUUCUAGAGGGGGCCCUUUUCCGCUAUAUUCGCGAUAUUGAACAAAAUGGAAGAAAUUCUUCACGAUUUCUAGAGUUCCGGGAUUACUUCACGGAAGAUCGGGUUAAAAAAUUCUAAAGCUUUCGUCUCAAUUCAUAUUUAGCCGCGAGCAAUCUACGUUUGUGAUCUCGUAUAUUUCGCUUCUCCGACAUCUUACUUAGUUUCCCCCUCAUCUUUUAGCAAAAAGCCGCUCCACAGUAGUAAAGUCUCAUCUUUUGAAUUGGCCGAAGUGACAAUAGUCACAUUGAACCCUCGAAUAUGCUCGAAGAUCUCGAAAUGAUCUUCCAGUUCCGGGGAGAAUUCGCAAAACUCCGUUUCCAUAAAGAAUGCUAAAUGACAAUCUGAACCUACUUGCUUACAGGAUCUUUAAGAAAACUGUGGACUUUUGCACCUUUCUGUCUAGCUUGAGUUAUCUUUUAGUUCUCUCCCCUCGGCAAAGUGGAUAGGAAAGAGUCUUGCAGGUUGAUCAACAAGUAAAUCCUCCCGGAUAUGAAAAGACAAGAUCAAUAUGUCAGCUAGCUUACUAAUACGGCAGCUGCUUAAACUCAUGCUGUACCUACAUAUCUCAUUUGGCUAUCCUUACCUAUUGGCUAUCCCAGGUGACCUUACACCUAAUGGACUAAUGCCAAGCUUGAAACUCCUAUGUAGAGGGAGCUAUCUCGCCUAUGUUUACGUUGCAAUGCUACUCCUCUGUUCUGUUUCUAGUGCGGUUAUGUGUAUUACAAGUUUUAAUAAGAGCGCACUACUCAUCCCAUGGGAGAUGGAGCCAUAGAGAAAUCCAAUCGUCAAAAUCAAUAAAAAGGCCAUCAUGGACCAAGAUCCAAACAGAUCAAUCUUGUUAGGAGGUACUGCCCAAGGAAAAAAAAAGGUGACGUUAUGGUAUUGACUACGAAGAGACUUUCAGUCCUGUAGUCAAGGCGGCCACAAUUAGACUAAUAUUGUCACUAGCAGUCGAUGACAUAGAUAGAGCCUCCUUCUUUGAUCCAUUCAUUGAUAACAAUCAAUAAACAUCUUCAACCAAUCCAAUACAAAUACUGAAAAAGAAGCAGUCUACCAACUUUUCUUUCACAAGGCCGCAGGCGCAAGGGAUGAGCGUGAAAUCCGUUGCUUGUUCUUUCGGUAGCCUUCUUUCAUUUCCGAAUUAGCUUGCGAGCAGUCCUUGCAUUAGUAUGAGUUCGUUGACCGCAUAAGGGCGAACAAAACGGAAUGUACCGGAUUUUUAGCACGUACAACCAUCAAACCAGAGACCAAAGCAGGGCUCGACAAAACUGAAAGUAUCAUGGUACGUCGUCCUCCCUUGAAAUGGAACUUGAAUGCUGGAGCAAGAAGACGCAUUCAAGUCGAUCUUAUUGCAUCACCCACACCUAAUUACAACAGUUGAAUGCUGUAUUUGCAUUUUGAUAUUGUACAUAGCUAUUUACUUCUAUUAUAAAUGUACCCUUGGUCGGAACUAGUUUUUUCGCUUUUUUAGCCGAUUUUUUACCUUUUUUGGACCCAUUCUAUAAAUGGAUGGAAGAAAUUAAACCAAUUCUUUCCCGCCAUAGGCGAAAAGUACUAAUUUUUAAUUCGCCUAAGGAAUUGGCAUUUUUCCGGGUUGUUUUAAAAAACAUUUGUUCCAGCCAUAGCGAAAAGUACUGAAAAUUCACUUUCCCUCGUAAAAAGGAAAAAACUGGGUGCAGAAAAAGGAAACUUUCUGUCCAGUCUGUGGCAAAAGUAAUACUUUUUCCAUUUUCCUUCGCGAUCGACCUUUCGGAUUUUAUAAACUAAGGAACCUGGUGAAAAAAGCAACCCUAUUAUUCCUGAGCAAAAGAAAGCUUACUACAGCACGGUCUUACGUCCAGGAUUGGAACAUUCCAUCUCUUCUUGUCCACUGGUAUAGAAAGAAUAUGCAUUUUCUUGACUGCUUAUUCAACGCCCUGCCGACUUGGAUACUGCUGGCUCUCUUGCAUUACGUGAUAGAAAUGAAAUGACAGAAGAACAAAGCAAGGGCUUUCAAUGCGCGAAAUCCGUUUCGAGUUAGAGUGCGAAACUUCUUGCUGCAGCCGUUUUAUUCGCUGCCAAUUGCACAUCAGGAGAAGAUGUCACUACAGAUCCUGCAACCUCAAGAGGGAGCAGCCUGUCCGUCCUAUUUAAAAGACUUUGGAUUUUUUUCUCCGGGGAUCGAGGUCUCAUUAGCCGAAGAAGACCCAGGCCAAUCCACGUGGCCUCUUUGACCAACGUCAGCGACAGAGACAUAGUAAAUUGGUCCGCGGGCAUCGCGAUAAGUCCUCUGUCCUACUACAGGUGCUGCGACAACCUUUACCAAGUCCAAACGAUUGUCAACUACCAGAUCCGCUGGUCCGCUAUAUUCACCCUAGCCAGCUAUCUCCUUUAUGAGUUUCUUCCUUUCUGAAAGUCACCACAGUGGAGAGUUACUAUCGACUUUCUCCAUGUGCCACUCGCCAGGGUUGAGUUGAGGGGGCAGCCCGUGCGCUAAUUGGGCUUCGAGGUUGGCUAUACGCGAAAAAAGCUCGCUUUCUACUGAGCUGUCCUAAACUGUUCCAGAAUGUUAUUUGUUUCAUAGGAAGAUUCCAAAAGCACAUUGUGAUGCCGAAAGAAUCUUCGUCGCCCUCAUUCCGUAGUUGAGUUCUUUCGCAUUUCUCGUAUAGUUUUUCGUGGAUUAGCAUCUCGAGGUUCUUUGAUGGGCAUAAAGAAAUUGUCUUGCUAGCAACCACCAAACCAAUAGAACAAAGGUUAGCUCUGCAGCUAGUCCACAUCUAUUUGUGCAUUCAAUGCUGCCAUUCCCCCGGCCCCAAAGGACAAGAUUGAGUCGCCGCUAUCACUUUUUUUGGGGGGCCAAUCCCGCGAAGAGUUAUGGAAAGAUUUUAUAGCUCGUCACAAGAAAGGAUUGAUGGUCGAGUCCCCGUGCAUGAAGUCAGUGGAUUCGAGUGAACUGACCGUACUACAAAUCGACAUACUUGAGGAAGCUUCUUACUAAACCAAAGAAAGGGCAGCUCCAGUUGUAUUGUCGAUUCCCUUCUCCCGAGAGCUUUCACACUCUGGGAUGGGAGUCCCUUCCAAGACUUGACCAAAAGCUUAUCUCUUGAAUCUAAAUUUAACAUUUUCCAAAACGCGGCUAGACCGAGGCAGAGCAAGAAUCGAGUUCCGUUAAAGGCCUAUGGUUUAACACCAUGCCUUUCCACUUUUCCGAAGUGGUAUGCUUAACCGCAUCCAGUUCUCUAUUUUCGUUUAUAGUUUAUCUGUGUUCAGUCAAAUCUGCGAACUCGACUAGAUAUUCUGCACAGGCCCUGGUGGGUUCUCCAUAGCGGAAGCAACCUCUGGGCCUUCCACAAAAAAAAACGAAAACAAACCAGAGAAGGAUCCAAUUAGAGUAGAGGAAAAAGCCUCCCUCCUCCUUCUGACAAUAUAAAGUCCCAAAAAAAUGAGGGAAAUAAAAAUAAAAAUAAGGUAAGGUCUAUCGGUCCACAAACUGCAGCCCAGGACGGGCGUCGUCAUCUAGGCGUGACUUCUUGUUUUGAUCUCCCCUACGCCUAGGACGUAGUCUGGGCCAAGAGCCAUAGUUAGUUGCUGUUUCCAUUUGGUUCUUCUUUCUCGUUGUUGAUACCGGCAAGACCCGAAUAGAAGAAGAGCAGUCGUCAAUUGAUUGAAAGUGGAUUGACGGCAUUCAUCAGUUGAUUGAAAAUGGACUUUUCUUUUAUGAUCGAGCGAGGUCCGUUUUUGGGCUUAAAAGUCCUUGUAAGCUUAUGCCUCAUCAUGGUUGGGAAGGUUAUAGUAGCUUCAGUCAUUGGAAUUACUCUAUUUCUAUAUAUAGGCCUUAUCCUUUUUGUUAUUGCGUUAUGGUAGAGGGAAAGAGAAAAGAAAGAAGAGAAAUUGGGCCAUGUUUCCCGAGAGAGACUGCCUUCUCUCAGGCCAGCAGUCUUAUACUUAUAGUCGACUGCUCUAUGACGAUCUGACCUCUUUCCUGGGCUCUGCUCGCUCGUCUACGCUCCUACCAAUUCAAGAGCAAUUCAAAUGCUUUGAUUGCUUAUCAGAUAAGAGGUAAAAAUAUUCUUCAUUCAUUUAUUUUUUUAAUGCCAAAUUUCAUUCAAAUCCAUUCUUAAAAAGGCAUAGUAGAGAAAGGCGGACCAGGCAAUCUCUGAGUUGAAAUCGAUCCCAGACAUCCAUCUCUUUCAAAAAGUUCUAAAGGCCGACUACUACAGGGUGCGUGCGCUGGGACUGAUCGGGACGACCUUGUCGGUCCUCACAUUCACGGAAUGAAGUCAACCUUAGAAAGUAGCCGAUCGGGACGAUCAUGCGUCUCAAGAGGAGAAGCAUGGACUGUUGCUAGCGCUCAUAAAUAUCCUUAUGACCCCUGAAGAUGGAGUUGUUUAGUGAAAAAAGGCCCAGCAGAGAGAACAGUCAAGAUAACUAGCGCGGAGUCCGCUUGGCAGGCGGCAGGAGCUGCGGGCAAGUGCUUGCUUGGUAGGCCAACAGCCCUGUGAACCGGGCGGGGCACCUCCGGUUAUAGAUGCCCUAACAAAACUUCAUAAGAAGAUAUCGCGAGAAAUAGUUGAGGAUCGAACUCUAUCUCAAAAGAGAAAUCGAUGUUUUACUACCAGUCACAAGCUUUAUGUUCGGCACAGUACUCAUACUGGAACUUACGAGCAAGAAUUGCGGAUAAGGGAAAGCCCGCUAUAUUAUAUAUAGUAAUCACCUGCCAAAAGGAAAGCCUGACCGAUAAUAAUAAUAGGUCUAUGCGCCGAACAAGCAAUGGUAUAUUAGAGAUAGUAAGGAGUUGUAUACACGGGGGUAUGCAUUCAUGUCACGCUUUCUGUGUGAUAAGAGGUUGCUAGCUAGCAAGUAUAGAAACAGGAGAUAUGCGUAGUUAACAGAAGCAAGGGAAUAUGCGUGAGUUGAUUUGAUAGUUUUUUUGAGAAAAAGCAAUUUCAUGAAGUUGGCCUUAGGUGUAAUAGGACUCCCAGUUACUGCGCGCGAUCGUAUACUGAGGUGCUCCCCGUCGGUUGUUGGAACGACGCGAGCCCCAAAAUAAUGUGACUUGGUCCCAAGGUAGAAAGUGAAGAACACUGAACAGAGCUGAAGCUGCAUGAUUAUGAAAUCCCCCAGGGCGCUUCUGAAGCCUCUUUCUAGUCCAAUCCCCCCACAUCGCGUAUAAAGGGAAUCGAACCCAACUCUUCCACUUGCCGCCAAUGCGGAAGGAUGCCACCAAAAAGAAAGGAGACUGAUCUUAACGUUGGCGUCGGUUUUUCCAAGAAAAGUUAGAUUUGAUUUGUCUUUUUCAUGCGGAACAGAACCGUAUUAGUAAGCGGGCCAGUUAACAGAAGCAAGGGAAUAUGCGUGAGUUGAUUUGAUAGUUUUUUUGAGAAAAAGCAAUUUCAUCUCAAGGGAAAGAUCAGAGGAGGAGAAGAAUGAAGGUGUGGGCGGGAAGGAGGAGGCAAGGCCCCCUCAAUGUUUAUUCGACUACUCAUUACGGAACCACCGAUUGAUCCGAUUAGACUUUCCGUGGUAUGUUGAGUUCUUGAAGCAUUGCCGAUAUCGAUAUAUAUUUCUUUGCAUGGGACAGUAGCCUUUUCUGCGGCGGAACAAGCUAAGAAGUGCAGGCGGCUCUUAUUUGAUAAGAUAAGGCAGAUGGUAUGAUCAAAUUCACUCUUGCGCUUUUUUUUGUAUUGAACGCAUGGCGUAGCUAGGACCCCUCCAAUCAUGUUUGAGCCUAUGUUCACCCGGGGUCCAAAAAGGAGAAUUCCGGAAUGCCUGCCGACGUUCAGAUAAAGUGCAUAUCCCUUACUACUAAAGGAAAGGCUCGACGAAGGGGGGGGAUUUUCCGGGUAAGGAAAAUGCUUUCGGAGAUUGAGAUGUCGAUUUGUUUUUCAUCGAAAAGGAAGAAGGCCGAGGGGAUAGCUGCCUUCCUUCGGGCUUUGCCUGCCGACAUUCUAAUAAAGAAUUCCGGCUCGGCCCGGGAAAGCGCUGGCAACAACAUAAAGAAAGGGGUCCAUGUAGCUGCUGCGCCCGCCCACUGAGCAGCAGGUUCGGCAUCUACUACAAAAGAGAGAAUCCACUUCAGAUAACCACGCCUCUGCUAGGCAGCGUGUGGAAUGGCCGGGAGCGGACCAAAUGGAUAUAUAAUCCAAGCCGAGAGUGGAGUUACGUGAACAGCCGUCUGAUGGAAAACAACUUUCGACUAGGAAAAUGAAGACAAAGGAAUUUGGAAUUACAAGACGGAUAUCAGCUUGCUACUUCUGACUUUGACUUUCAAUAGGGAGGUCAAAAACUAGCACUUUUUUCGAGGAGUGAUCAUGGUUGAUGUCUACUUGCCGGGCUGCCCACCUAAACCGGAGGCGGUUAUAGAUGCCCUAACAAAACUUCAUAAGAAGAUAUCGCGAGAAAUAGUUGAGGAUCGAACUCUAUCUCAAAAGAGAAAUCGAUGUUUUACUACUAGUCACAAGCUUUAUGUUCGGCGCAGUACUCAUACUGGAACUUACGAGCAAGAAUUGCUCUAUCAAUCACCAUCUACUUUAGACAUAUCUUCUUCAACUUUUUGAAAAUCCAAAAGUCCAGUAUCUUCCUACAAAUUAGUGAAUUUGCAGCAUUCUGAAUUCAUAAUUCGAACUGAUCAGCACAGUCUCGUGCAUUUAGAAGAUCAACGACUACACCUUGGCAGCAGAAGGCCUUCACUAAGUUUCUUGGACUUCAAUACCGACGCAAGGGAGCCAAGAAUGGAGCAGCUGAUGCUUUGUCCCGACGCAGCCAUAGAGUCGAUCUUGCAGAUAGGCGGAGGUAUGAUUGCUUGCUCCUUGCAUGUGAAGGUGGGAAACAAGGAAACAGCAGAAAUGCUUACUGGGACAUAGCCUUCGGUACGAGUUGAAGGGAAGAGGAUUGCUUGGAACCUCUAAGACAUGGCACCCCUGCCCCUUCCCGGCUACUGGAUCACUCCAGUGCUUCGGGUACUACGGACCCUCUGCCAUCCAUUGCAGCAGAGCCGUUUCAUGAGCGGGGGGGCUAAGCGCAGUUCUUUGAAUCAAAGGUUUUAUGAAAUCGAAAUUGAUUCUUUUUUAGAUAUCUGGAUAGAUGGAUGGGGCCUGGGAGUGAAUGUGGAAGCUUAACACUAGCAACGGGCAGAACAGUUGGUAAAGGAGAUCAUUGGCACUAUGGCGCAUGUAUGUUGAGUUCUUGAAGCAUUGCCGAUAUCGAUAUAUAUUUCUUUGCAUGGGACAGUAGCCUUUUCUGCGGCGGAUCGUUUCCUUUUCUCCAAUCAUAAAUAACCUGAUCUCUUUCUUUGUCUUUCAUCAAAUAAGUACAAGAAUUGCAUAGAUGAGGAUUCGGUAUUGAUCGCUAAAAUGCGAGAAAAAGACCCACGUUUCUCUGUUCGUCCGCUAUCAGAUCAAAACGGGUAGAAGCAGCUUGUUCUUUCGCGCUAGUGCGCUCAAUCCGUUGCUUGUUCCUUUCCUUUGGAUUUAUUAUCAUAAUAGCGUAGACAAAAGGUAGGACCAGAUCAUGCGAAGAACUCUUCGCCCUAUUGAUUAGGAAUCUCGAUUAGAAACCACCAGGCCAUGUCUCCCGAUAAAAGAUGAUCCCCACAAUGGAUGUCAGGCCUUGGCUUCAUAAAAUCUGAUUGGAUCCGCACUAGAGGAUAAGAAUACAGAUAGGCUGACUUAGAAGAUCUUAAAAUUGGCGUAGACAAAAGGUAGGACCAGAUCAUGCGAAGAACUCUUCGCCCUAUUGAUUAGGAAUCUCGAUCAGAAACCACCAGCCUCGAAUGGAGCAUUACGAGUGCAUGAUUGAGUUGUUUAGUAAGCAUGGUUGAUUUUUAAUCAUUUUUUUCCACCUUAAGGGCCCCAGAAACUUCUAGUUAUUCUCCAGUAGGAAAGGUUCUAGUGACAUUGCUGCUAUUGCUGGAAGUCCCGCAGCUUACUGCUCACGGAAACAUCCGACCUUAUGGUCAAGUCGUCCGCCUAUCUUUCUGAUCUCAUUCGUUUGUAGAUCGCAUAAAAAGCUCUUCGUUGUCUGAGAGGGCAGAAGGCAUCAGACUUGUAGUCUAAAUGCUGUGUAUCUGACAUACUUCAUUCUCUGUGCAGGGUACGAUUUCACUAUGGACAUCCUGAUGUGUUCGACAGGAUUUUUAUCUGGUGACUCCCUUCCCCCUUUUUUCCCAGAAUGAAUUCGCCCGACGCGACGAAUCCUGCCCUCCUGUCUUUCUUUCUCAUUGGCCCCGCUGCCGCUACUGCUCGAAAGCAUGACAGCUCCGCUUCCUCGUCUUGCUUCUACUUUGCUUGUUUGCGCGAAGGCUUAGAGUCCUUUUCGCUAGGUCCAAAUUCGUCAAAGUCGCCACGACGACUCUCCGUCGUGGAAUUAGACCAAGGGUCGAAGACCUAUACCAUAGGACCCCGUCCGAUUUCAGAGCCCACUUUAUUAAAAACUUCGAUUUGAAGCCGAGAACCCACCUAAAAACAAUCAUUUGACUAAAAAAUUCGUUGGAUAGGUGCAUCACGAAAUCGGUACUCAAUCCCUUGCUUGUUCGUGGGAUGGGAGUAUCUCCUAUUAGCGAUGCUCAGAUUUCAAUGGAAGGAAGAUAGUUAUUCCAAUCACUUUUCUCGAUAGGCAGGGCGGGACUCAAGAAACCUGCGUACGGCAGGGCUAGGUUACCAGCGUACGGGCAAGAGAAAUUUUAUCUUCUCGUCAGGUCAUUAGAGGCUCCUCUGGAGGCCAUACAAGAAGGAUCCUUAAUUCAUUGCAAGGCAUUCUCCAAUCCCCAUUCACACUCUCCUUAUUCAUACAUCAGUUCAGCUACAACAAAGAAGAUAUCCUCCCAUUGGUUAGUUGGCUCCCUGUAUGGUUGGUACCUGCUUUCCCGUAAGUCUGUACGGAGAAUCAAUAAAGGCAUCCGCAGUGGAAUCAAACUCAUAAGGGACAGGAUCACCACCAUUCGGUAGACCAAACACCCUAUGAACACUGCCGGCAUGAGAUAUGAGUCGUUAGAGCACAUAUCUCCGUGAUCCCUUCCACAGCUAAACGUAGAUCUCUAUCUUGUAGUGGAGUGUAGAGUAAAGAUAUACCGGAGCGGAGUGCAAGAAGGUUAUAGGGGAGUGUGGCGCCCGCUUGCCCGCCUUUCGUCUCGGUUGAAAAACAAAACCGUUGCUUGCUUUGUGGCCCUAUCGCUUAAGGUUCCUUUUGAGUACGAUCAUAUUAGUGAGAUGAGGCAUAUCUAGAUCCAUCUGAAUCGAACACCCAAACUCAUACCUAGAUUAUAGGAGAGAUCGACAUCUAUAUCAGGGUACACCCAUCUUUCCAAUCAAUUAAAGAAUCGGUGGGUACUAGACUAGAGCCAGGAAUCGAAAGAGAAAUAAAUCGGGAACUUCAGUACUGCAGGCUGAGGACAGUGGUUAAAGAGAGUCAGGGAAUUAUUGGUAGCAUCAAGUUUUUUCUUCUAAUUUCUACUAUUUCUUCCAGGAUCAAAAAUAUUUUACUUGGUUGAGCUUUGUCAACAGAUUGGCAGUGAAAUAGAAACUUUUCUAUGGUGAAAUAUUAGAGAAUAACUAUAUAAAAUAAAAAAUAUCUCUUUGAGAUUUCCCCGCUGGCGCUCGCUCAAUCCGUUCACCAGGGUUCCUUUCCUUUCCUUUACGGUCGAGCUACUUCUCGUUCAUCAUCAAGUGGUUUCAAUUAUAAGAAUAAUUAUACUAGUGAACUAACAAUUUGGCUUUUCAAAGUUCGUUUAAGAAAAUGCAAUGAAAUGUUUAGCAUCUAGUUUAGUGGGUGCUUGCCUAUGGUUCCAUUUAUUAAUUAAUCAAACCAUUUCCUUUUCAUGCCAUCCAUCGAAUUUAAACUUUAUCGUUAUCAUUGGCUGGAAUGAGAAUAGCUGCAGGAUCCAGAUCACCAUUUGUUGUAUCAUAGUUGGAAUGGCUAAAAUAAGACAUUCUUGAAGAGCUAUAUAUUAUUUUUGCUGAUCAAUGAUGAGCACAAUAUCAGGUAACCCUUUUGGAAUGAAAAACUAUGACUUCGUAGUUUUCGUUAGUAGAAACCUAAUUCAUUAAAAUUCCGUCCAGUAAAACGGAAGAAUUAUAAAUUUCUAAAAUAAUAGAUAGGAAUACCGCGAAUAAAGCCAUUGCGACCCCCAUAAAAGGAGUAGUCCCCCAACCCGGAGCUACUUUCCCAUAUUCCGAAUUAAUUGAUCAUAACGAUAUCGUGGAAAUGCUGCACGGACCCAUAUAUAUAGAAACAGAAAAAGAAGAACCUUGAUACUAAACCAGAUCGAACAAGGGAUCUUCUUGGAAAUGGGAAGAUCUAGGAUAGGCGGCCAACCUCCUAGAAAGAGCGAUGUGCAUAGACCGGGUGAGUAGGGAUGCAGCUCCGUGGACCGCUCGUCGGGCCUGAUAGGUGGUGGUAUCACACCCUUCUCCAAGGAACCGUACGUGAGACUCUCGCCUCAUACGGCUGCGUCCUGGAAUCUGGACAGUUUUGUCUUUUGUGCCGAAGCUAUUUAUAAAGCACAGGCCGAAACCGGUGAAAUUAAGGGGCAUUACUUGAAUGCGACUGCAGGUACAUGCGAAGAAAUGAUUAAGAGAGCUGUAUUUGCGAGGGAAUUAGGGGUUCCUAUUGUAAUGCAUGACUACUUAACCGGGGGAUUCACCGCAAAUACUAGUUUGGCUCAUUAUUGCCGCGACAACGGCCUACUUCUUCACAUUCACCGAGCAAUGCAUGCAGUUAUUGAUAGACAGAAUAAUCAUGGUAUGCAUUUCCGUGUAUUAGCUAAAGCAUUGCGUAUGUCUGGGGGAGAUCAUAUCCACGCUGGUACAGUAGUAGGUAAGUUAGAAGGGGAACGCGAAAUGACUUUAGGUUUUGUUGAUUUAUUGCGCGAUGAUUUUAUUGAAAAGAUCGUGCUCGCGGUAUCUUUUUCACUCAGGACUGGGUAUCCAUGCCACGAAGCAGCUUCUCUAAUAACCCCGUUGAAUAGGAGGGCGAAGGCUUUUUCGAACUUAUUUAUAGAGGGGGGCUUCGACCUUCUUAGGAAGAGCCGUACGAGGCUGCUCACAUACGGUUCGGGAGCCGAGCCACGAGUCCAAUUUGAAGUUGUUGAUGUUUAUAUUGGUCAAUCAUAAAAUAGAAAUAAGAAAAGAAUUUAUAUUUAUUCUGAUCAAACUUCUUCCCUAUUAACCUGGAAGUUCUUCUGAGAUACAAGGAAAUGGUUCGUUUUUUUGCUUUUUAGCAGUAAUCAGAAAGUUAGCUCUUUUUCCAGACCAGUGGCCUUGGAGUUCAUCCCCGUCCUCUGCCAGGUGAGAAGGAAGAUGAGAGAUAUGUUCCUUAGAAGUCGUCUUCAACUUUCUUCCAGGAAAGCCUUUCACCGAGUGAGCAGCAGUAAGAAAGGGUUUAGCUAAUGGAGAAAUUGACUCUUCCGAGAACCAGUAACGCGUAAACCAUGUCAAACCAAGACCGAUCAAUAUCCGAACGGAACGGAUAUACCAGUAGUAGAGUGGCUUGAAUCAAAUCGUUUGUCUAGAGGGAGUGUAGCGAUAACCAAAGCUGACUGUACUAGAAACUUUAGAUCCUGUCCGCUCAUAGCACGAUGGAAUUGCGCAAUUGUAGCCCGACGCGCUGCUUCAAUGGCUCGAUAUGAAAGACGACCAGCUCUACAACUUUUGGCCGGCAAAGAAAACCAACACUUAAGACGCUAUUGGAGACUAGCGUAGCUAUUAUUCGAAGCUUAUUAAUUUCUUUACUGCGUUCAAGGCAUGACCGCGUGAUAGGUGUCCUUUUCCCCCUACUCAAGAAGAGUUACAUCUAAGUUCCGAUCGUAAUAUGACAAACAAAUCUUACUUUUUCUUUCCCAAGCUGGCGCGGCUCGGCAAAAGUUGGUUCACUGACCAAAGACGACUUCUUUGUUCUUCAGUAGUUUCCUCCUUGACUAAGCACAUGCUUAAAGAUUUAAGUUCUAAAUAAUUCUAGGUAGCAUAUAAGAACGAGACCUAAGCUAUAAGCCCUAUAAAAGACUGUGCUGAUCGCGCAACUGAUCAUAUCCAGCGACCAAGCAGAUCAACUAGAAGGUCAUAUGUCCACCCGCCCUUUCCUUUGAGAAAUCCUAUUCCUAUCGAUUUAGCUGCAUAGGCAAUACGACAUUACUAUGAAUAAAUGACGAGCGAAUGGUGGCAGUACCAAAUGCCGAAUUAGCGGCUGUACCAAAUGAUCAAUGCCUCUGGGGUUUCCCUUCUCUUCAGCCCUUUUGCUCUUCUAACAACAAUGGUGAACGGCCAUUUGUCAAGGCCCCGGAAUCCGCUGGACAUCCCAGCGGCGGGAUUCGAUACCCGCAUCAGAUCGAAGUGCGGGCUCACUGAAAACCAAACUGUUCGUAUUUCUUUAAAACGCUGCUGCCCUAGCCGGGGGUCUGUCUAUAGAAGAAGGGAAUCCAGAGGAAGAAGCAGCUCCCCGAAGGGUUACCGAAAACUUUGUGAAAAUACUUCUACGAGAAGGUUUUAUUGAAAACGUUCGAAAACCAUAGGGAAAGUAACAAAUCUUUCUUGGCACGUGCCCCUGCUCCUGGUCUUCGAACUAGUCAUUAAUGGUCGGCAACAUAGGUACCCUUUUUCAGUAUGCGUUGCGAACACUUUCAUUUUUAGCGUCUCAUCUUCUCUGGAGAAGCUCAAAUCGGCUUGGGUGCAUCAAAACUUGCAAUACGAAGAUCCCUUUCAGAUCAGCAGGAGGAGCAGGUUGCACCACUGGUUGGGGAGGAAUUCGCGCAGCGGUUUCGAAGACUGAAGCACUUCUUGCAAGUAUCAACAGGUCAGAAUGCCAAAUAAGAGUUUCUUGUGGUCGAAAUCAAAUGGUAACCAGUUUGAGGGGUGAUUGAUCACUAAGCGACAUAUGGCACGAAAAGGAAAUCCAAUUUCGGUAAGACUUGAUCUGAAUCGUAGUUCAGAUCCAAGUCGGUUCAGUGAGGGCGCCCCGACCCAUGUUCAAUCACUGAAGUGUGGUUGAGUGAGAUGAUCCGCAACCAACAAAUGAUUUGUCAUUGUCUCUAAAUCACUGAAUGAAUUCGUUUUUUAUUUAUAUAUGAGAACUAGAGAGUUCACUAGCGCAGAAGGGGAGACCAGAAAAUGCCUUUUGUUUUCCCCCCUUCAGCGGCCCUAGCCGCCUUCGUUAACGAGCCCUCGAGCCUCCUUUGCGCCGCCUUCCUCAUAGAAGCCGUUGGGUUGACCCCGAGGGCCGAAUUCAA
rnacentral:lncRNA from 1 species